CAUUUUAUUUUUUAUCAAGUCAUAAGUCCUCAAAUUUCUAAUUGGCAUUUAGUAAAAUUGACUGUUCCGAUUUCAAAAGAAAUAAUUUAUUUAGGGAAAGGAAAAAAAAAUCAUGAUGUAUUAGAUUUUUUAAACUUUUUAAGUGAUGUUAAACUACGUGCAACAUAUUAACUACGUGCACAAUAUUGUAUUCCAGUUUCAAAAAACGCAAUAUUUUAUUACAUUGUAAAUUUAGACUUAGGUGUUAAAAGGUUUACUAGUCUUUUCGGUAUUUUUGCGUUUUAAUUGACAUCUUUCUGUACAUAGACUUAAGACGGCGUAAGUUGAAUUCUCAAUCGUCACGGUUGAAUGCGAAAUCGACCCGUUGGCGGUCCGUUAGUAGAUGAGGGUAACCGUUGGGGCUUAAGGCAUCAUCCAGGACCUAUCAUGGAUAACUCCACGUACCCAUCUGACUCACACCUUGGUAAGGAGGAAAGUGAUAAACUGCUUCUCCAAGGAAUUAAAAGCAAUGUUCGGUGAAAAAACUCUAAGGUACUUUUACAAGGACUAAUAGUGAAGAGAAGUGCUGUCUUGAUCGUUUGAGCACAUUAAAAAUGUACGAGACUAUCCUUAUCAGCUAAAUGGUCGUGGAAUCUUAUAUUGCUUGAUGUGUCAACAAAAAGAAUUCGAAUAUAGACAAGGAUCGUAAUUUUAAAUCUGAUAUUAUUAUUCUAAUUCAAUAACAUUUUAUGUUUUAUUUUGUAACCAAUAUUUAGUUAAUACUUUUUCUAAAUC